rnacentral:rRNA from 1 species
UAAGGAAUAUUGCUCAAUGGGAGAAAUCCUGAAGCAGCAACGCCGCGUGGAGGAUGAAGGGUCUAUGACUUGUAAACUCCUGUAAAGAAGGAAAAAAUUCCCAUUUGAUGGGAGAUGAUGGUACUUCUGGAGUAAGCCCCGGCUAACUACGUGCCAGCAGCCGCGGUAAUACGUAGGGGGCAAGCGUUGUCCGGAUUUACUGGGUGUAAAGGGUGCUCAGGCGGAUUUGUAAGUCAGAGGUGAAAUCUUACAGCUUAACUGUGAAACUGCCUUUGAUACUGGAAGCCUAGAGUAUGGAAGAGAGUGAUGGAAUAUCUGGUGUAGCAGUGAAAUGCGUAGAUAUCAGAUAGAACACCAAUGGCGAAGGCAGUCACUUGGUCCAUUACUGACGCUAAAGCACGAAAGCGUGGGUAGCAAAC